rnacentral:rRNA from 1 species
GAUGAACGCUGGCGGCGUGCCUAAUACAUGCAAGUCGAGCGAACAGACGAGGAGCUUGCUCCUCUGACGUUAGCGGCGGACGGGUGAGUAACACGUGGAUAACCUACCUAUAAGACUGGGAUAACUUCGGGAAACCGGAGCUAAUACCGGAUAAUAUAUUGAACCGCAUGGUUCAAUAGUGAAAGACGGUUUUGCUGUCACUUAUAGAUGGAUCCGCGCCGCAUUAGCUAGUUGGUAAGGUAACGGCUUACCAAGGCAACGAUGCGUAGCCGACCUGAUAGGGGGAUCGGCCACACUGGAACUGAGACACGGUCCAGACUCCUACGGGAGGCAGCAGUAGGGAAUCUUCCGCAAUGGGCGAAAGCCUGACGGAGCAACGCCGCGUGAGUGAUGAAGGUCUUCGGAUCGUAAAACUCUGUUAUUAGGGAAGAACAAAUGUGUAAGUAACUAUGCACGUCUUGACGGUACCUAAUCAGAAAGCCACGGCUAACUACGUG